rnacentral:tRNA from 1 species
GGGAUAUGGCGAAAUNGGUAGACGCUACGGACUUAAUAA